GAUGAACGCUAGCUACAGGCUUAACACAUGCAAGUCGAGGGGCAGCAUGGUCUUAGCUUGCUAAGGCCGAUGGCGACCGGCGCACGGGUGAGUAACACGUAUCCAACCUGCCGUCUACUCUUGGACAGCCUUCUGAAAGGAAGAUUAAUACAAGAUGGCAUCAUGAGUCCGCAUGUUCACAUGAUUAAAGGUAUUCCGGUAGACGAUGGGGAUGCGUUCCAUUAGAUAGUAGGCGGGGUAACGGCCCACCUAGUCUUCGAUGGAUAGGGGUUCUGAGAGGAAGGUCCCCCCACAUUGGAACUGAGACACGGUCCAAACUCCUACGGGAGGCAGCAGUGAGGAAUAUUGGUCAAUGGACGAGAGUCUGAACCAGCCAAGUAGCGUGAAGGAUGAAGGUCCUACGGAUUGAAACUUCUUUAUAAGGGAAUAACCCUCCACGUGUGGGA
rnacentral:rRNA from 1 species